CUGGCUCAGGAUGAACGCUAGCUACAGGCUUAACACAUGCAAGGUCGAGGGGCAGCAUGAUCUUAGCUUGCUAAGAUUGAUGGCGACCGGCGCACGGGUGAGUAACGCGUAUCCAACCUUCCCUAUAGUAGGGGAUAGCCCGUAGAAAUGCGGAUUAAUACCCUAUGUUGUAUUUCGAUGACAUCUGACGAAUACCAAAGGUUCACCGCUAUAGGAUGGGGAUGCGUCUGAUUAGGUAGUCGGCGGGGUAACGGCCCACCGAGCCAACGAUCAGUAGGGGUUCUGAGAGGAAGGUCCCCCACAUUGGAACUGAGACACGGUCCAAACUCCUACGGGAGGCAGCAGUGAGGAAUAUUGGUCAAUGGGCGAGAGCCUGAACCAGCCAAGUAGCGUGCCAGGAUGACGGCCCUAUGGGUUGUAAACUGCUUUUAUGCGGGGAUAAAGUGAGGGACGUGUCCCUUAUUGUAGGUACCGCAUGAAUAAGGACCGGCUAAUUCCGUGCCAGCCGCAGC
rnacentral:rRNA from 1 species